CGACGUGGAGAACCUGCCGUAUACUGGGGGAUAACACUUAGAAAUAGGUGCUAAUACCGCAUAAGCGCGCAGCUUCGCAUGAAGCAGUGUGGAAAACAAAAAGCUAAAGCUUUUGGUGGUAUACGAUGGAUCCGCGUCUGAUUAGCUAGUUGGCGGGGUAAAGGCCCACCAAGGCGACGAUCAGUAGCCGGCCUGAGAGGGUGAACGGCCACAUUGGGACUGAGACACGGCCCAAACUCCUACGGAAGGCAGCAG
rnacentral:rRNA from 1 species